rnacentral:lncRNA from 1 species
ACAAAGCAUCAAUUAGCAGAUAUUUUUACAAAAGCCUUAAAUGAAGAUCAAUUUGAAUUUAUUAGAAGGGAACUAGGCAUGUUAAAUUGUCCCUUGGAGUAAGACUUUUGAAAGGAUUUUACAAAGAAUGUCUUAUUCCUGUUCCGUUCGUUUGUGAAUUUGAUUUCAUCUUCCUCUUUCGAUUCCAAAUGAGAUAUUAAAACUACAACUCAAUGUCUCAACCUUUCCUUGCGUCAAAAAAAAAAAAAAAAAUACCUCUGGAAAUCAAGAAAGGGGGAAGAAAAGUUUUCUUUCCUCUUUCACGGCCAGCCAGCGGUGGCACCGCCAGAAUCGGCGGUAGCACCGCCUGAGCGCUCGGGCGCCAGGCGGUGGCACCGCUUGUUCAGGCGGUGGCACCGCCCGAGAGCCCUUUAUAACCCGAGAAGGUUAGGGCCGGCGGUGACACCGCCCCCAACCCGUGGAUAUCUUCCUCCAGCUCUCUCAAAUUCUCUCAAUCUCUCAUUCUGCCUUCUACAAACCUUGGAGAAGGAAUCUUGAGGGUCCAAACUCUCCAUC